CCUACGGGUGGCUGCAGUGGGGAAUAUUGGACAAUGGGGGCAACCCUGAUCCAGCCAUGCCGCGUGUGUGAAGAAGGCCCUCGGGUUAUAAAGCACUUUCAGUGAGGAAGAACGCCUGGUGGUUAAUACCCAUCAGGAAAGACAUCACUCACAGAAGAAGCACCGGCUAACUCCGUGCCAGCAGCCGCGGUAAUACGGAGGGUGCGAGCGUUAAUCGGAAUUACUGGGCGUAAAGCGCGCGUAGGUGGCUUGAUAAGCCGGUUGUGAAAGCCCCGGGCUCAACCUGGGAACGGCAUCCGGAACUGUCAAGCUAGAGUGCAGGAGAGGAAGGUAGAAUUCCCGGUGUAGCGGUGAAAUGCGUAGAGAUCGGGAGGAAUACCAGUGGCGAAGGCGGCCUUCUGGACUGACACUGACACUGAGGUGCGAAAGCGUGGGUAGCAAACAGGAUUAGAUACCCCAGUAGUC
rnacentral:rRNA from 1 species